rnacentral:rRNA from 1 species
GAUGAACGCUGGCGGCGUGCCUAAUACAUGCAAGUCGAGCGAACGGACGAUAAGCUUGCUUCUCUGAUGUUAGCGGCGGACGGGUGAGUAACACGUGGAUAACCUACCUAUAAGACUUGGAUAACUUCGUGAAACCGGAGCUAAUACCGGCUGAUAUUUUCUACCGCAUGGUUCAAAAGUGAAAGACGGUUUUCCUGUCACUUAUAGAUGGAUCCGCGCUGCAUUAGCUAGUUGGUAAGGUAACGGCUUACCAAGGCAACGAUGCAUAGCCGACCUGAGAGGGUGAUCGGCCACACUGGAACUGAGACACGGUCCAGACUCCUACGGGAGGCAGCAGUAGGGAAUCUUCCACAAUGGGCGAAAGCCUGACGGAGCAACGCCGCGUGAGUGAUGAAGGUCUUCGGAUCGUAAAGCUCUGUUAUUAGGGAAGAACAGAUGUGUAAGUAACUGUGCACAUCUUGACGGUACCUAAUCAGAAAGCAACGGCUAACUACGUG